rnacentral:rRNA from 1 species
UACGUAGGGUGCAGGCGUUAAUCGGAAUUACUGGGCGUAAAGCGUGCGCAGGCGGUUUCUUAAGUCAGAUGUGAAAGCCCCGGGCUUAACCUGGGAACUGCGUUUGAAACUGGGAGACUUGAGUGUGGCAGAGGGGGGGUGGAAUUCCACGUGUAGCAGUGAAAUGCGUAGAGAUGUGGAGGAACACCGAUGGCGAAGGCAGCCCCCUGGGCUAACACUGACGCUCAGGCACGAAAGCGUGGGGAGCAAACAGG